UUGCAUGACUUGAUUUUUUGU
rnacentral:piRNA from 1 species